rnacentral:rRNA from 1 species
GGCGAAUAAGGACUGGGUAAGACGAGUGCCAGCCGCCGCGGUAAUCCUCGCGGUCCAAGUCGCAGCCACUUUUAUUAGGUCUAAAACAUCCGUAGCUUGCUUUUUAAGUUUCUUGUGAAAUUCUGUGUCUCAAGCACAGAGCGUGCAAGAAAUACUGAAAAGCUAGAGACUGGAAGACGUAAGAAGUACGUUUGAAGUAGCGGUAAAAUGUGUUAAUCUCAAGCGGACUCACAACAGCGAAGGCAUCUUACGAGGACAGUUCUGACAGUAAGGGAUGAAGGCCAAGGGCGCAAAAGGGAUUAGAUACCCCUGUAGUCUUGGCAGUAAACACUGUACACUAAACAUUAGUACCUCCUCGAGAGGUAUUGGUGCUGAAGCGAAGGCGAAAAGUGUACUACCUUGGGAAGUAUAGUCGCAAGACCGAAACUUAAAGGAAUUGGCGGGGGAGCAC